GCCUACGACCAUACCACGUUGAGAACACCCCAUCUCGUCCGAUCUGGGAAGUUAGUACUUGGAUGGGUGACCGCCUGGGAAUACCGGGUGUUGUAGGCG
rnacentral:rRNA from 1 species